UACGGAAGGCAGCAGUGGGGAAUAUUGCACAAUGGGCGAAAGCCUGAUGCAGCUAUGCCGCGUGUAUGAAGAAGGCCUUUAGGGUUGUAAAGUACUUUCAUCGGGGAGGAAAAAACAAAACUAAUAAUUUUAUUUCUUGACGUUACCCGAAAAAGAAGCACCGGCUAACUCCGUGCCAGCAGCCGCGGUAAUACGGAGGGUGCUAGCGUUAAUCAGAAUUACUGGGCGUAAAGAGCACGUAGGUGGUUUUUUUAAAGUCAGAUGUGAAAUCCCUGGGCUUAACCUAGGAACUGCAUUUUGAAACUGAAAUACUAGAGUAUCGUAGAGGGAGGUAGAAUUCUAGGUGUAGCGGUGAAAUGCGUAGAUAUCUGGAGGAAUACCUGUGGCGAAAGCGGCCUCCUAAACGAAUACUGACACUGAGGGUGCGAAAGCGUGGGGAGCAAAACAGGGAUUAGAUACC
rnacentral:rRNA from 1 species